GUGCUCGCUUCGGCAGCACAUAUACUAAAAUUGGAACGAUACAGAGAAGAUUACCCUGGCCCCUGCCGCAAGGAUGACUCGCAAAUUUGUGAAGCGUUCCAUAUUUUU
rnacentral:snRNA from 1 species